UUGUCAUUAGUUGCUACAUUCAGUUGGGCACUCUAAUGAGACUGCCGGUGACAACCGGAGGAAGGUGGGGAUGACGUCAAGUCCUCAUGGCCCUUAUAGGUGGGGCUACACACGUCAUACAAUGGCUGGUACAAAGGGUUGCCAACCCGCGAGGGGGAGCUAAUCCCAUAAAACCAGUCGUAGUCCGGAUCGCAGUCUGCAACUCGACUGCGUGAAGUCGGAAUCGCUAGUAAUCGUGGAUCAGAAUGUCACGGUGAAUACGUUCCCGGGUCUUGUACACACCGCCCGUCACACCAUGGGAGCGGGUUCUGCCAGAAGUAGUUAGCUUAACCGCAAGGAGGGCGAUUACCACGGCAGGGUUCGUGACUGGGGUGAAGUC
rnacentral:rRNA from 1 species